UACGUAGGGUGCAAGCGUUGUCCGGAAUUAUUGGGCGUAAGAGCUCGUAGGCGGUCUGUCGCGUCGGCUGUGAAAACCCGGAGCUCAACUCCGGGCCUGCAGUCGAUACGGGCAGACUGGAGUCGGCAGGGGAGACUGGAAUUCCUGGUGUAGCGGUGAAAUGCGCAGAUAUCAGGAGGAACACCGGUGGCGAAGGCGGGUCUCUGGGCC
rnacentral:rRNA from 1 species